UCAACCCUCUCUCUACCCACACCGCUCAAUCUUAUCACGAAGAUCUUUCGACGUUUUAUUCCAGUAGGCAAUUAACAACAACAGCAGCAUCCAAUGCCAAGCCUGGCCAUGACAUUAUCUGCUUGACACGCCGCCGUCUCACUCUCGGUGAGUUUGUCGUCCCACUCAUUGUGACUCUGCCCCUCUGGUCGUGGCGGUCUGCCAGUUUUCCUGCUUGCCCCUGUCAAAUUAUUGAUGAUUUACCAGAGUUUAUAAAUUCUUGAUUUCUUUGUAAUGUAUGUAUUGGAUAUUUUUCUGAUAUUGCGGGAUUUUUUUGUUUUGCAAUAGUGAGAAUGAAAACUAAAACUUGUAGCUUUAAUUUUUUCGGCAUAUUUUUGUGCAAUUGCAUUCGGUUGGUAAUUGACCAAAAAUCUAAUUCGGUUUCUGUACGUUGUGGUGGUGA